GAGAGUUAAAUAGUACGUGAAAUUGUUGAAAGGGAAACGAUUGAAGUCAGUCAUGCUAGUGAAAAAUCAGUUUGACGGGUUUUGAGUUCGGGAGUAGAGGCAGGGUCAAACCGUUUCUCUUUUGGACUUGGGAUUUGUCGGAUGUACUUUUUCUUUGGCAGGUCAGCGUCGGUUUCGGAGGUUGUAAAAUACUUGGGGGAAAGUAGCUCUGCUUCGGGAGAGUGUUAUAGACCCUGGGGGAUGCAGCCUGUGGGAUCGAGGGUUGCAGCAAAUGCCUUUGGCUUGUCGCCUGAUCUCUGGAUGUUACCUCUCUUGUGACAACAUUCUUGCCACCGGGGAGUACUGAUGCCCAUUAGGUUAGAACGAUCAAAAAUUUGCUAAGGAUGCUGACGUAAUGGCUUUAAACGA
rnacentral:rRNA from 1 species